rnacentral:rRNA from 1 species
UACGUAGGGUGCAAGCGUUGUCCGGAAUUAUUGGGCGUAAAGAGCUCGUAGGCGGUUUGUUGCGUCGGCUGUGAAAUCCCGAGGCUCAACCUCGGGUCUGCAGUCGAUACGAGCAAACUAGAGUUCGGUAGGGGAGACUGGAAUCCUGGUGUAGCGGUGAAAUGCGCAGAUAUCAGGAGGAACACCGGUGGCGAAGGCGGGUCUCUGGGCCGAUACUGACGCUGAGGAGCGAAAGCGUGGGGAGCGAACAGG